AUGGCCAACUACAGUUCUCGUUGGUCGCCUUGGCCACCCUCGGUCAUGAGCUCAUCCACCAUGGUUACUGGCAGUUGUCCAAGUGGAGCGCGGACAUCAGUCCAAGUAGAAUCGCGGCCACCAUCUUCACCAAGCGCUACACAGCCGUUGAAGUCGAGCACACACAAAAGUCCAACAGUGCAGCUUCUUCCCGACCUUCUGCUCAUGGCGCUCGAGCCACCUGCACCUCUUUGCAUCAAUUCUAAAAUUCCCCGCGCAUCAGUACACCUAUGUAUUGCUUCUGCGAUUUUCAAAUAUGGUUACAGUUGUUGCUUCGAUUUUGUUGUUGAUUUACAUAGUUGCCGAUGGAAUGAAUUACUAAAAGUUCAAAUUUGCUAA
rnacentral:rRNA from 1 species